ACAGUUACUGUUAUUGUUCGUUUUGGGGCUAAAAACUUGUAAGCAAAUUGGAAUUCAAGCUGCCUAUUGCCGGUGCCGACCGAACACUUCCGCCGUCAUUUUGAAGUGCCGCCGAGCCCUUGGAACAUAGACCAAUGACAACGGAAACGCCAAAGAAACCUGGGCCUCCUAAAAUAGUUACGCUGAAUAACUCAUCGAAAUUGGCUGAACAAUGGAUAAAUAAAAUGAAUGGAUCUGCACAUGAAAAGUAUUGGAAGUAGAACCAGAAGCUCGGCCAGAAAGGAUUGGACUCGAAGCAAAGGUUCCGCGCCAAUCGAAAGUUGGACUCUCUAAUGACCCUGUUGCAAGAAAACUAUCUGCCAAGUUGGGUGCUGGAAAAAGAAAAGCAUCCAAGAACCAGGACUCCACUACCCCUUCUGGUAGAGACCUGGUUGACGAAGAUGAUGGUGAUGAGGAUUUAGAUGGCAGAAGUAGUGCAUUUUCUAGGAAGAGAGCCGUUCCUCCAACUUCACAAUUACAGGUAAAGAAAAAACUGAAGUAACUUGUUGUCUUAAGUGGUUGAUUGUAGCAAAAUGCUA